rnacentral:rRNA from 1 species
GAUGAACGCUAGCGGGAGGCUUAACACAUGCAAGUCGAGGGGCAGCAUAGGGUAGCAAUACUCUGAUGGCGACCGGCAAACGGGUGAGUAACGCGUAUGCAACCUACCCUGUACAGGGGGAUAACCCGGAGAAAUUCGGACUAAUAUCCCGUAAUAAUAUCCGGAGGCAUCUUUGGAUAUUUAAAGUUUCGACGGUACGGGAUGGGCAUGCGUAACAUUAGCUGGUUGGUAAGGUAACGGCUUACCAAGGCUAUGAUGUUUAGGGGUCCUGAGAGGGUGGUCCCCCACACUGGUACUGAGACACGGACCAGACUCCUACGGGAGGCAGCAGUGAGGAAUAUUGGUCAAUGGGCGCAAGCCUGAACCAGCCAUCCCGCGUGCAGGAAGACGGCCCUAUGGGUUGUAAACUGCUUUUCCAGGGAGAGAAACUUACGCACGUGUUGCGUGACUGACGGUACCCUGGGAAUAAGCAUCGGCUAACUCCGUGCCAGCAGCCGCGGUAAACA